rnacentral:misc_RNA from 1 species
UUUUGAACUGCAUAAUGCAUUUGAAGGCCCUGAGGGGAGAGACUACAAGCUACAGCCCAGGCCUAAACAAAGCUAAACAAUCAUGAGGCCCAAAAAGACAACAACUUAACCCCAAGCCCAUACAGAUUUACAAGCCCCAAACCCGAAAAAUCAAUUCUCAAAACAGAAAUCUUAUCUAAAAUGAGAGCCGCCCACGGUACGCGGCCAGUCUACCAAACCUCAGGAGCUGCCAUGGCGACCAAGAGAGGAGAAGGGGAGUUGUAGAAGUUAAGACUCAGUCCAAGGAGUCAAAAACCCGCACAACCAGAGCCCAAACCUUGCCAAACGGACCUCAAGAUCACAGAUAAUCAAUUACCUAGACAUUCUUUCAUGCGCUACUUGUCCUCAUGUGCUCGAUACGUGAAUAUUGUUCUUGACAAUGCACACGUCUGUAUAUUCUGAUAUCCUGAGUUCAUUAUGCCUAACCAUUCGUGACAAUAACGAAAUUAAUUGAAUUAAAUUUUAAUAAAUUUUUAAUUUUCAAAUAAGCAGAUAAUGAUUGGUCAUCAUGAAAUUUUAAUUUCUCAUCAAAGCGAGGAAAGAAGUGAUUGAACAAAGCCCAUGAGCAGAGCAGCUCAUAUUCUAUAGUCUAGCAGGCUAACCCUGUGGAUGAGAAAAAAAGAUUCUCACUAAUCUCCUUCCACGUGUUGUGUGUGUGUCCUCUGUCGGUGCACUUAGCACAGAGGAAAAAAGAAAGAAAGAAAGAA